ensembl:lncRNA LINC02805 long intergenic non-protein coding RNA 2805
CACACGGAUGCGGAAACCGAGACGGGCUGGAUGGAAAACUCUUUCCAGACAGACUCCGGGGCCCUCAACUGGUCUCCGACCUUCCCCUGCAACCUGCGACACCUGCCAUUUUCCCAUCUUAGGCUCCAGAAGCAGAAUCAAGUGGGAUGUCUUGGAAGAAAAACAAACAAAAGGCCCACUAGGUGGAGUGAAAUGGAUCAGGAGCAAUUAUGUUCAAUUUCACCUUUAAGUUUUCUCAAAAGGAGGAGCAUUAAGAAUCAGCCACCUUAGUACAUACUUAAAGAAUUAUCCUCAGACUUUCCAGUUUUAAUCUUCUAGAUUUACUGAAACCUGAUCCUGUCCCCGCUGAUGAAACAUCAGAGGAAUGGGAUCCUGUAGGUGAAGAUCAUCAGCUUAUAAAAUCCUGUUGCCAUCAAUGGGGGUAGCAGGAAAAUGAUGAAGAUUGGUUAAGGGGCCAGUGGACUCAGCAUUGAAAUGAAUCAUGGACUUGAAGCCAAAAGACUCAGUUUGUGUCCCAGCUCUCUCAAGCAAAGCCCCCAAGUCCCAGUUUCCUCAUCUAUAAAAAAUAAUAAAAAUACUUAAUGGACAAA